GACGAACGCUGGCGGCGUGCUUAACACAUGCAAGUCGAACGGAAAGGCCCUGCUUUUGUGGGGUGCUCGAGUGGCGAACGGGUGAGUAACACGUGAGUAACCUGCCCUUGACUUUGGGAUAACUUCAGGAAACUGGGGCUAAUACCGGAUAGGAGCUCCUGCUGCAUGGUGGGGGUUGGAAAGUUUCGGCGGUUGGGGAUGGACUCGCGGCUUAUCAGCUUGUUGGUGGGGUAGUGGCUUACCAAGGCUUUGACGGGUAGCCGGCCUGAGAGGGUGACCGGCCACAUUGGGACUGAGAUACGGCCCAGACUCCUACGGGGGGCAACAGUGGGGAAUAUUGCACAAUGGGCGGAAGCCUGAUGCAGCAACGCCGCGUGCGGGAUGACGGCCUUCGGGUUGUAAACCGCUUUCGCCUGUGACGAAGCGUGAGUGACGGUAAUGGGGAAAGAAGCACCGGCUAACUACGU
rnacentral:rRNA from 1 species